rfam:Chelonia mydas contig172325, whole genome shotgun sequence.
AUGUCUUUGCAGGAGAAAGGGCCGGCGCUUAGUUAGAGAAGUGCUAUCGAAAGGGACUGCUAGGAGGACGGCUUUUAAAUUGUUUUCUUCCAAGCGCGAUGUGAAUAGGCGGGGUUGCUUUAAUACAGCUGCUGUCUGUCGCUGAUGCCCGUUGCUUCUUCCCGCUGGAGAAGCGGUAGGAAGAGAGCACAGAUUGGGUGGU